UUCCUAGAGCAUAGUGUUGAUGCAUCGGAUCCCAUUAGAAAUCCAUAGUUAAGCGUGCUCAUGCUAGAGUAGUAUUGGGAUGGGUGACUACUUGAGAAGUCUCAGUGUUUUAGAUGC
rfam:Picea glauca, whole genome shotgun sequence.